GGAGGAAGGUGGGGAUGACGUCAAAUCAUCAUGCCCCUUAUGCUUAGGGCUACACACGUGCUACAAUGGGUAGUACAGAGGGUUGCCAAGCCGUAAGGCGGAGCUAAUCCCUUAAAGCUACUCUCAGUUCGGAUUGUAGGCUGAAACUCGCCUACAUGAAGCUGGAGUUACUAGUAAUCGCAGAUCAGAAUGCUUCGGUGAAUGCGUUCCCGGGUCUUGUACACAC
rnacentral:rRNA from 1 species